rnacentral:rRNA from 1 species
AUCUAUGGCCAUGCUACCCUGAACGUGCCCAAUCUCCUCUGAUCUCGGAAGCUAAGCAGGGUUGGGCCAGGUUAGUACUCGGAUGGGAGACUAUCUAGGAAUACCAGGUGCUGUAGGCA